CAGGGUACAACCUCUGCAGAGUGUAAAACAGGUAUACUAGCCGAGCUCACGGUCAUGAGCAGCUCAGGACUCUCGCAUUAUUAAAUUAUGGAACUUAAAUUCAAUUUGUCAUUUGCAUUGCAUGGGAUUUAUUAUUAAUUUUGUUCUAUUACUCUUGUUAUGGUUUGGUAUUUACUUACACUUAGUAACUGCUAAUAAAAUUUGACCAACUUAUUAAAAGCAAUGCUCAGCUAUAACCCCUAUUGUUGAUCAGCCUUACGCUUCACAUGAACUUCCACCUUUGGUGAGUUCAUGCACAUUAUUCCCCACAACUUGUUGAGCUAUGGACGUAUGUGAGCUCACCCUUGCUGUCUCACCCCCACAGGAGAAGAACAGGUGGUUCAAGAGGAGCCACACAACGAGGAGUUUGACUUGAUCUAGGUGGCAUCUCCCAGUCGACUUUAUGGCGCCAAGGAUGGAAUUUAGUUCAUUUUAUAUUUAUCUUUUAUUUUAUAAGACUUCCGCUAUGUAAUAAGUACUCUGAUGAUAUUGUGACAUUUAUCUCUAUACACUCUGUUAUUAUAUGUGUUGUCUUCUUUGGCGCAUAUAUGAGAUGCACCCGGCUUUAUCCCUUAAAUCCGGGUGUGACACUUCUGGCCGAG
rnacentral:lncRNA from 1 species